GAAAUGCGAUAAUUAAUGUGAAUUGCAGAAUUCAGUGAAUCAUCGAGUCUUUGAACGCACAUUGCGCCCCCUGGUAUUCCGGGGGGCAUGCCUGUCCGAGCGUCAUUGCUGCCCUCAAGCACGGCUUGUGUGUUGGGCUUCCGUCCCUGGCAACGGGGACGGGCCCAAAAGGCAGUGGCGGCACCAUGUCUGGUCCUCGAGCGUAUGGGGCUUUGUCACCCGCUCCCCUAGGUCCAGCUGGCAGCUAGCCUCGCAACCAAUCUUUUUAACCAGGUUGACCUCGGAUCAGGUAGGGAUACCCGCUGAACUUAAGC
rnacentral:misc_RNA from 1 species